CCAGAUACCUUAAUGGUAAACGGAACUGUAGGAACAAGUCCUACAAAAAGGGCGAGAAUCUCCCCCGGGAGGCAUGAGGGGCUAGUCGGACAGCAUCAGGCGAAGCGUGUAGCACGCGCCAACACAUCCGUGCUAGGGUCGUGUACGAGAGGCGCCCAACGGAGCAGAACCAUUGGCAGGGGACCACGGCGAUGUCUUCCCGAACCCGCAGACGACAGCUGCAGACUGAAAGGGCCCAACCUGCAGGGAAAACAGCGACUGCCGCCAGGGCCGGACACGGAACGGUCGCCGCACACCGACAACAGGCGCUGGCG
rnacentral:lncRNA from 1 species